UGCGCAGGCGGUUCUAUAAGACAGAUGUGAAAUCCCCGGGCUCAACCUGGGAACUGCAUUUGUGACUGUAGAGCUGGAGUACGGCAGAGGGGGAUGGAAUUCCGCGUGUAGCAGUGAAAUGCGUAGAUAUGCGGAGGAACACCGAUGGCGAAGGCAAUCCCCUGGGCCUGUACUGACGCUCAUGCACGAAAGCGUGGGGAGCAAACAGGAUUAGAUACCCUGGUAGUCCACGCCCUAAACGAUGUCAACUGGUUGUUGGGAAGGUUCCUUCUCAGUAACGUAGCUAACGCGUGAAGUUGACCGCCUGGGGAGUACGGCCGCAAGGUUGAA
rnacentral:rRNA from 2 species